UGCUUUAGGUGUUAUUUUUAGAACACCUAUAAUAGCAUAACAGAAGAAACACUUUCGGGAUUGUCCAUUUUUUCACGCAACUGUAAAUCCGUCAUAUUUAUUGAUUUCUAUGCGUCGCCUUCUAAAAAGUGAAAUGAGCUCUAAAACAGCUGAAACUGUGAAUAAAAGGCACAUAUUGGCAAAUAUGUAUGUCUGAAGAGACCAAGAACUUAUGGACGGAGUAUCACAAACGAUAUAAAACUGGAACGCUUGGAUUAAGAACUCAUCAGAUCAGAUAGGACACUUUUAUACUCUCGCAACAAAGUUGCUACGAGAGUAUAAUAGUUUUGUUCACAUAACGGUUGUUUGUAACACCUAAAACUAAACAAGUUAGAUAUAGAGUCAUAUAUACCGAAGUGAUCAGGGUGACGAGUAGAUUUGAAAUCCGGAUGUCUGUCCGUCCGUCCGUCUGUCCGUCUGUCCGCCUGUGCAAGCUGUAACUUGGUAAAAAUUUAGAUAUCUUAAUGAAACUUGGAAUACAUAUUCCUUGGGGCAGUGAGAGGGUUGCUUGGGCGAAAUCGGACCAAUGCCACACCCACCAAAUGGCGAAAACCGAAAACACACAAAGUGUCAUAACUACGCCAUAAAUAAAGUUAUAAAAGUAAAAUUUGGAAUAAGGGAUCGCACUAGGAAGGGGCAUAUUUGGGUGUAGGUUUUUUGGGGAAGUGGGCGUGGCUCCGCCCACAAAUCGGUUAUUUAAAUAUAACUCGCAAACCAAUAAUGCUAUAUAAACAAAACUUUCUGCAGUCGGUUCUCUUACGUACCCCACCACACACCACGAAAUUUGUUGAAAUCGUAUUAUAACCACGCCCACUUCCCAUACAAAGGUUAGGUUGAAAAUUACUAAAAAUGGGUUAACUCACUAACGAAAAACGACAGAAACACAAAAUUCCACAGAAAUAAUAGUAGAAGGAAGCUGUACUCAGAUUUUUUUACAAAAUGAAAAAUGGGCGUGGCAUCGCUCACUUAUGGGUCAAAAACCAUAUCUCAGGAACUAUUCCACAGAUUUCAAUGAAAUUCGGUAUAUAACAGAUUUCAAUGAAAUUCGGUAUAUAACAGAUUUCAAUGAAAUUCGGUAUAUAACAUUUUCUUUACACCCUGAUAACACGGAUAAAAAAUGGGCGAAAUCGGUUCACAACCACGACUACUUACCGUAUAACUCAAUUUUGAAUUCCAUCUGAUUCCUUCACUUUAUCAUGUAUACAUAAUGAACCAAUGAAGAUAGUGGAAUAAAACUUUACACAAAUAGUACAUAUCAUCUCUGCCUUCACUUGUGAAAAAAUUGUCGAGAACGGACUAUACCUUUUCAAGGCCCCAGAUAUCGAACAUGUGGAACUCAGCGCCUAAAUGUAAAUUUUAACCGAAAAUUUGGGUAAAUCUCUCAGAUAAUUUAAUGUUAUUCAGAGGAAAUUGUUUUCUUCUAAUAGUGUUCUGUUAAAAAAAAGUUAUUAAAAUUGGGUCAAAACAUCUCCUAGCUCCCAUCUGCCUAAUUAUAGGUUUUUCAAAAAUACGGUGGGAUUUAUUCCGCAUAUAUAUAUUGGAUAAUAUGUGAGAUAUUUAGCAAAAUUAAGUGAGCGUAUAGUCUUGGAUAUAGUGUACCCUGCUCGUGAAAAUGAAAGAAUUACCUCAGCCCUCAUAUAGUAUUCUUAUAUGACUAUUUUCGUAAUUCUAUUAAACUUUAGGCCGAAUUUAUGGGUAAAUUUUGUAUGUUUGUAAGAUUCUUCAAUAAAUUGCGAGAGUAUAAAAUGUUCGGUUGCUCCCGAACUUGGCCUUUCCUUACUUGUUAAUUUUUUAUUUUUAAGCAAAAUGAGUCCAUCUAUUAAGCAACGCUAUAAGUGAUCUAAUUCUAUGUAGGGAAUACAUAUUAAAAUCUCAGUUACAGUUAUAGUUUGAGAAUAUUGCUAAUAAGUUUUUCAGUCAACCAUUAAUGAACACCCUUAUAUUCACAGUUUUUUUAAUUUUCCUUAAAUUAUUUUAUAAUUUUAUAUAAUUUUGUCAUUAUUUUUGUUCUCUUCGCAUUUGUUGAAUAAAAUGUCCUGUUGCCAAUAAGCAAUUUCCAAUUGUUGAUUUGCUUUAUUGAUUUUCUAUGGAGUCAUGUGGGUACCAAUGACAUAUCAUAGCACCCAAAGAUGUCGAAG